UGUAAAUUUACACAGACAUUAAAUUUCGUUCUAUUCAUUUUAGACAUAUAAUGCUAAGCUGAUUUUUUUUAUAGCACACUGAUCGAUAUCUCUGUAAAAUAAUCAUUUUUUUAACUAGCGGGGCAGUGAAAUCUUUGCUUUGUGCUAAAGUCAACAGUGACAGAGUUUGAGCUCAAAUAAAUGCCGUGAUGUCUGGAGCCCUUUGCAGAAGGCAGAAGGCGAGCUUCUACAAUGGGCUCCUGUGUGGCUUGCCAACAACAAGCACCGGCUAUUUUGCACAGACAUACAUGGAUUUCAUUUGAAGGACACUUUUCCACUGCUGCUUACCGUCUACUUUCAUCACCCCGCAUCAAGCGACCUAAAAGCACUUUCCUGUCGAUGUACUUGGCUAUAUCUACGUCUGACCUGUCUGCCAUAUGUAAUAUCAAAGCCUCUGUCAGCGUGGAGCUGAAUGGGAACAAAAGAGAGACCUCCAUUAAUGAUUAACUGUUCUAAAAGCCCCGGCUUUUGUAUUCCCAUGGUGCCCAGGCUAUCUGGCCACCAUGUGACAUGCUCACAGCAUUUUUCGAGCAGAUUGGGGGAAAGCUAGUGAGCAAACACAGGUGCUUUGGAGCAGCGUUGCCGACGCUGUCAGGGACAACCACAAACAAGAGCAGCUAUGCCUGGCUAAAUGAAUCCCCACCCCUCCCAACACCAUCACCACCUCCACCACCUCCCUCUUCUCUGUCGCUAGCUAACUUGUUUGCUAGCUCCCUAUAGCUUUCUCCCUGCAAAGCCUUCCUUCUGGAGAGUCACCCACGUCUAACCCCCCCCCCCCCCCCAACAACAAGUCCAAUGUCCGCUCCAGCCGCGCUCCACAACUUCUCACACCCUCCAAAGAAACAAACAAAUAAAAGUGAGGACAGCCGACCACUUCUUUGAGGUGAUGGCAUUUGCUGUGGUCAUGACUAGUGGGAGAGCAAACAAAUUAAUGGUGUUCGAGUUUUCACUUUCCAAACCAAACUAAAUGUCUUUUAGUUCAAGUGGGGCAAUUCCACUGACCCUGGUGUCAAAUGCUGUAUAAGGGUUGCACACUCUUGCACUUGAAAUGCCGAGAGGAGGCCAUAAGAAAUUAAACAGGACUUGAGUAGUGGCCUACAUGAGCCUGGUGAGGUGAGAUGCCUCAAAUCGGCAUCUGACAAAUAAUUCUUGAAUAAAUUGUGUGUGUAGUAAACACUGUGCAUACUCAUGGUUUAUUUCUGCUGUCUGUAUUUUGACCACAAACUUUAACAAGAGGUUUGUGGAGCACUUAACCUUUUCAUCCAGGCUGACUGAUAUUUCAGAUUGACUGGGGGUGCUGUGUCGCUCAACUUUGAUAAGACAAUCAGAUGAUAGGAUGGCGUUAUCUUAACAUGGCUUUCCGGCUGGGAGACAAAUGAACAGUGCGCGAUAACAAGAACAAAAGCUUGGCUCUUAUUGGCUGGCUCCUCUGAAGAAAGGAAAAUUAUCAGGGUGGAAAAUUCACAUUAGGUGCAGUUUAUUUCAUUUUCAAUUUUCUACUUAGCAGAGGUCACAGGAACAGCUUUUCUUUCUUUCUUUCUUUUUUCUUUUCUUCUUUUUUUUUUUUUUUUUUAAAUCACUCAAAUAUUUAUAUUGUCUCUUGUUGGCAUUUUGGUUUAACAGUGUGCAAUUACCUGUGACUAUAAAGCAGUUAUCACUGGAAAGAUGAUAAAAAUGUUUUAAAACAAACAAUUUAAAUCAACAGGAGAGGAAAUGAAGUUGUAAAAGUGAGAGAAGGAGAAAGGGAGGCUGACAGGGAGAAAGCAAAAAUAUACACUGUGUGUAUAUGUAUAUAUAUAUAUUACACACACACACACACACACACACACACAUAUAUAUAUAAAGAGAGAAAUUGAAGGAUAGAAAAAUGGAGUGUGUGUAUGAGGGGAAGAGAUAGGAAGAGUGUGAAGGAAGAAGGUCAAAAGUAGUUUCCACAGAGACCUGCUACUGAUCAGUAAAACACCACUUCUGACUUUUGCAGGCUAAUUCUCAGAGUCAGAGAGAGGUGUGUAUACUCAGGGAUUCACUCAGGGCUUUGUUUGCUCUAUUCCACCCCAAAAAAUGAUUGGAAAAUGUAUUGGUGCCCUGGCAUGAAAUGUUAGAACUUUGUCAGAACAAAAGAAAACCUUGCAACUGUGUAAAAAUUGCAUAAAUAAAAUAUUCUCUUUAUAAUAGAA